GAUGAACGCUGGCGGCGUGCCUAAUACAUGCAAGUCGAGCGAACGGACGAGAAGCUUGCUUUUCUGAUGUUAGCGGCGGACGGGUGAGUAACACGUGGAUAACCUACCUAUAAGACUGGGAUAACUUCGGGAAACCGGAGCUAAUACCGGAUAAUAUUUUGAACCGCAUGGUUCAAAAGUGAAAGACGGUCUUGCUGUCACUUAUAGAUGGAUCCGCGCUGCAUUAGCUAGUUGGUAAGGUAACAGCUUACCAAGGCAACGAUGCAUAGCCGACCUGAGAGGGUGAUCGGCCACACUGGAACUGAGACACGGUCCAGACUCCUACGGGAGGCAGCAGUAGGGAAUCUUCCGCAAUGGGCGAAAGCCUGACGGAGCAACGCCGCGUGAGUGAUGAAGGUCUUCGGAUCGUAAAACUCUGUUAUUAGGGAAGAACAUAUGUGUAAGUAACUGUGCACAUCUUGACGGUACCUAAUCAGAAAGCCACGGCUAACUACGUG
rnacentral:rRNA from 1 species